AUUGUGUUGUUUAAGUGUUCCCUUUAUUAUUUUGAGCAGUGUAAGUCAUGAGGACAAACAAACUAUCCAAAAAGUAUCUGAUCUUGAUUAUGUGGAUAACAAUGUUAUCAGUCCACCACUAGAUGUCACUCAAUAGCUGUGUUCAGUCCUGUAGGGAAUUGCUACUUAGUAGCCAAAGUUAUUAUUAAUAUUACUAUUAUUGCCAUUUAUAUAGCGCCAACAGAUUCCGUACAAUAUUAUGAGAAGGGUGAUUUAACUAGAAAUAGGACAAUUACAAGAAAACUUACAGAAAUAAUAGGUUGAAGAAGACACUGCUCAAACAAGCUUACAGUCUAUAAGAGGUGGGGUAUAAAACACAUUAG